UAACCCCAGCGCCUCAAGUGGUGGCCACGCUUAUUGGGCCUAAAGCAUUCGUAGCCGGACUAGUAAGUCCUCUGUGAAAUCGACCAGCUUAACUGUUCGGCGUGCAGAGGAUACUGCUGGUCUUGGGACCGGGAGGGGUCAGGGGUAUUCCUGGGGUAAGGGUUAAAUCUUAUAAUCCCAGGAGGACCAUCGGUGGCGAAGGCGCCUGACUAGAACGGGUCCGACGGUGAUAGGAUGAAAGCUGGGGGAGCGAAGCGGAUUAGAUUCCGGCCAAGCCAAUAAUGACUUGGUGGGCAGAAACCCGUGUAGUCCCAGCCGUAAACGCUGCCCGUUAGGUGUUGCACGUCUCAAGAGGGCGUGCAGUGCCGAAGCGAAGGCAUUAAACGGGCCGCCUGGGGAGUACGGUCGCAAGGCUG
rnacentral:rRNA from 1 species